UACGAAGGGUGCAAGCGUUACUCGGAAUUACUGGGCGUAAAGCGUGCGUAGGUGGUUUGUUAAGUCUGCUGUGAAAGCCCCGGGCUCAACCUGGGAAUGGCAGUGGAUACUGGCAAGCUAGAGUGCGGUAGAGGGAUGUGGAAUUCCCGGUGUAGCGGUGAAGAUGCGUAGAGAUCGGGAGGAACACCAGUGGCGAAGGCGGCAUCCUGGACCGACAUUGACGCUGAUGAGCGAAAGCUAGGGGAGCAAACGGGG
rnacentral:rRNA from 1 species